rnacentral:rRNA from 1 species
UACGAAGGGGGCUAGCGUUGUUCGGAAUUACUGGGCGUAAAGCGCAUGUAGGCGGCGAUUCAAGUCGGGGGUGAAAUCCUGGAGCUCAACUCCAGAACUGCCUUCGAUACUGCAUUGCUGGAGUAUGGAAGAGGUAGGUGGAACUGCGAGUGUAGAGGUGAAAUUCGUAGAUAUUCGCAAGAACACCAGUGGCGAAGGCGGCCUACUGGUCCAGCACUGACGCUGAGAUGCGAAAGCGUGGGGAGCAAACAGG